rnacentral:rRNA from 1 species
AGUGAACGCUGGCGGUAGGCCUAACACAUGCAAGUCGAACGGCAGCACAGUAAGAGCUUGCUCUUACGGGUGGCGAGUGGCGGACGGGUGAGGAAUACAUCGGAAUCUACUUUUUCGUGGGGGAUAACGUAGGGAAACUUACGCUAAUACCGCAUACGACCUACGGGUGAAAGCAGGGGAUCUUCGGACCUUGCGCGAUUGAAUGAGCCGAUGUCGGAUUAGCUAGUUGGCGGGGUAAAGGCCCACCAAGGCGACGAUCCGUAGCUGGUCUGAGAGGAUGAUCAGCCACACUGGAACUGGGACACGGUCCAGACUCCUACGGGAGGCAGCAGUGGGGAAUAUUGGACAAUGGGCGCAAGCCUGAUCCAGCCAUACCGCGUGGGUGAAGAAGGCCUUCGGGUUGUAAGGCCCUUUUGUUGGGAAAGAAAAGCAGCAGGUUAAUACCCCGCUGUUCUGACGGUACCCAAAGAAUAAGCACCGGCUAACUUCGUG